rnacentral:rRNA from 1 species
CCUACGGGAGGCAGCAGUGGGGGAUAUUGCACAAUGGGGGAAACCCUGAUGCAGCGACGCCGCGUGUGGGAAGACGGUAUUCUGGAUUGUAAACCACUGUCCCCAGGGACGAAAAUGACGGUACCUGGGGCGGAAGCUCCGGCCAACUACGUGCCAGCAGCCGCGGUAAUACGUAGGGAGCAAGCGUUGUCCGGAAUUACUGGGUGUAAAGGGAGCGUAGGCGGGGAUGCAAGUUGGGUGUCAAAACUACCGGCUCAACCGAGAGUCGCACUCAAAACUGCAGCUCUUGAGUGAAGUAGAGGCAGGCGGAAUGCCUAGUGUAGCGGUGAAAUCCGUAGAUAUUAGGAGGAACACCAGUGGCGAAGGCGGCCUGCUGGGCUUUUACUGACGCUGAGGCUCGAAAGUGUGGGGAGCAAACAGGAUUAGAUACCCUUGUAGUC